rnacentral:rRNA from 1 species
AGAACGAACGCUGGCGGCAUGCCUAAUACAUGCAAGUCGAACGAACUCUUCGGAGUUAGUGGCGCACGGGUGCGUAACGCGUGGGAAUCUGCCCCUUGGUUCGGAAUAACAGUUGGAAACGACUGCUAAUACCGGAUGAUGACGAAAGUCCAAAGAUUUAUCGCCAAGGGAUGAGCCCGCGUAGGAUUAGCUAGUUGGUGAGGUAAAGGCUCACCAAGGCAACGAUCCUUAGCUGGUCUGAGAGGAUGAUCAGCCACACUGGGACUGAGACACGGCCCAGACUCCUACGGGAGCAGCAGUAGGGAAUAGUUGGACAAGUGGGCGAAAGCCUGAUCCAGCAAUGCCGCGUGAGUGGUGAAGGCCGUUAGGUUGUAAAGCUUCUUUACCGAGAUGAUAAUGACAGUAGUCGGAGUAAUAACGCCCGGACUAACCGUCCGUGCUAG